GAGAGCUCCUUCUAUACCUUGGCUAUUUCCUAAGAAGAAAUGCUAUAUUGCUAGAGACUGUUCACCAGCUGAGUGAAUUCAGUUUUUCUUUCUGGAUGUGGCUAUUAGCCUCCCUGUGAAUACUUCACCUGGUGUUGCCAUGAGCCUCGUGGAAGUGAUUCUAUAUCUUUUAAUACUGACAUCUCAGGAAGAGAAACAGUCAAGUGUUAGAUACCUAUCAUUGGACCAACACUGUAAACCAAAUGGCUAAUUGGGCAAAGAGAAGAUCUGAACCCUCUAUUGAAAUUGAAUGACUUUCAAUACCUGCUUCUGGGUUAGGGCACUUGAGCCUGAAGCUAAAGAGUGAACAGUGAGUUCUGAUGUUUUCUGAGGUUUGGUCCUGGCAAUGCUGAUGCCUUGAUGCGUGUUUUCUUCUCUUCACUACGCAGAGAUUAGAGAUGAGUGAGGAAACAGGACUGAACAUGCUGCAUGCAGCUGGUGAACAGAUAUGCUGACCAUACUGUGUCAUAAUGCUAAUACAAAAUGUUUCUGUUCUAAUAAUGUGCUCUUAUGACUGGUGAACAUAAGCUUCUUCAGUCUCGGACCACAGCUGAUAGAGUCCUGAAGGGAAAAACCUUGGGGGUUGUCGUCUUACUACAUUCCAGAGCAGCAGUAGCCUAUUUACCUUUUCCUUGUGCAUAGGGCCUGUACUGGGUUUAUAUGCCCAGAGUUUGGCAGCAGGGGUUCUGCAGGAAUGGCCUUUGUGAACAUAACCUGGAAACUACCCCAUGUCAAAUAAAAGCUGAUUCUAGCUGGUUCCAAAAGGGAUUCAAUCCACUGCUGGCCAGAGCUCAGCCGUGAGCAGCACUGGUUUUGUGUCUGUGACCACUAACCUACUUUAUUGUUAAUUGGCAAUAAGUUACAUUAAUCUUUUCAAAAUGGAAUCUGUUUUGCUUAUGAGAAUUAUGGGUGAGUGAUAUCCCUGUCCUUAUCUUGAACUAUGAGCUUUUUCAUCUUUUCUCCUGUUGUCCUACUGAAGUGGAGAAGAAAGCAGCUUGGUGGGCUCUAUGCACACAGUCAAAUUUAAUCCCCCACAUGGCUUUUACACAACACUGUGCAAAAAUGGCCUGAGAUUUUAAAGGGUCUCCAUGGUAUCGCUUGUUUUUGGAAGGUAUUUGUAUAUAGCCUAAAUGGAGGUUGAGUUCAAGCUGCCUGUAAUGAAAAGAAUUACAUCCCCUCUAAAACUUGCACUUUACGUGUGUUCAAACAAUCAACACUGUCUAUAACAUUGGAAGAUUUGUCUUCCUCAAGCUUCUUUUUGUAAGCACUUUUAUCUUUCAGAAUAGGCAUUGUAUCAGUUUCUCAAUAUCAAAACAAAAAUAUUAUUUUCUUUGUUUUUCAUUCACCUUUUCUGCCUGGUUUGUAAACUCUUUCAGAUUUGUGUCUCCUAAUGUGGAUGUACAGCAUGUCGCACAAGAUUUAUUAAUGCCAAAAUAAAUGUUUGUUUUUUUCUUAGCAACUCUUCAUUUAAAGGUAAAAUCACAUUGACAAGGAUUGAUUACAAAUAGUAAUAAAAAUGUAAAUGUUGAAGAGGAUGAAGUUGAUGCAGCAAAGUUUUAAAUAAUAGCUCUGGUACUGCUGAAGAACUUGGUUUCCUAAUAGUAAUUUAACUUCCUUUCCUAUUUUAACUGCUUGUUUUCCUAGUUUAACUGUUCUGCUGUUUUUGUACCUUCUAACUCAGUCCCUUAGGGAUGUAAGUGCAACAAAGUCGGUGAAACUCUAUUUCUUCAGAAG